GACGAACGCUGGCGGCGUGCCUAAUACAUGCAAGUUGAGCGCUGAAGGUUGGUACUUGUACCAACUGGAUGAGCAGCGAACGGGUGAGUAACGCGUGGGGAAUCUGCCUUUGAGCGGGGGACAACAUUUGGAAACGAAUGCUAAUACCGCAUAAAAACUUUAAACACAAGUUUUAAGUUUGAAAGAUGCAAUUGCAUCACUCAAAGAUGAUCCCGCGUUGUAUUAGCUAGUUGGUGAGGUAAAGGCUCACCAAGGCGAUGAUACAUAGCCGACCUGAGAGGGUGAUCGGCCACCUUGGGACUGAGACACGGCCCCAACUCCUACGGGAGGCAGCAGUAGGGAAUCUUCGGCAAUGGACGAAAGUCUGACCGAGCAACGCCGCGUGAGUGAAGAAGGUUUUCGGAUCGUAAAACUCUGUUGGUAGAGAAGAACGUUGGUGAGAGUGGAAAGCUCAUCAAGUGACGGUAACUACCCAGAAAGGGACGGCUAACUACGUG
rnacentral:rRNA from 1 species